CAUUCGACAAAGAUACACUCAUUCAUUCAUUCACAAUCAAGGAAAGAAAAAGAGAAAAAGACAGACAAAACCAGAAUGAAGGCAUGCAGCUUGAAUU
rnacentral:ribozyme from 1 species